GGCGAACGCUGGCGGCGUGCUUAACACAUGCAAGUCGAACGGAAAGGCCCUGCUUUUGUGGGGGGCUCGAGUGGCGAACGGGUGAGUAACACGUGAGUAACCUGCCCUUUACUUGGGGGUAACUUCAGGAAACUGGGGCUAAUACCGGAUAGGAGCUCCUGCUGCAUGGGGGGGGUUGGAAAGUUUCGGCGGUUGGGGAUGGACUCGCGGCUUAUCAGCUUGUUGGUGGGGUAGUGGCUUACCAAGGCUUUGACGGGUAGCCGGCCUGGGAGGGUGACCGGCCACAUUGGGCCUGAGAUAGGGCCCAGACUCCUAUGGGGGGCAGUAGUGGAGAAUCUUGCACAAUGGGCGGAAGCCUGAUGCAGCAACGCCGCGUGCGGGAUGACGGCUUUCGGGUUGUAAACCGCUUUCGCCUGUGACGACGCGUGAGUGACGGUAAUGGGUAAAGAAGCACCGGCUAACUACGUG
rnacentral:rRNA from 1 species